UGUCACGUAGUGUAAUGGUAGCACGUUAGAUAAACGCUGUUUUAUUUCUAUUCUUCAGAAAUGAUUGCAUUUUAAACAGAUACUUCACUCCACUCAUAAAGGAAAGGUUUGGGUUCGAUUCCCGACGUGGCAACCA
rnacentral:tRNA from 1 species